rnacentral:lncRNA from 1 species
UGCUGUUCCGGUUGAUGGGGUUGAGGUCAGGUUCAGCAAAUUGUGAAGAAAAAAUCAUGAAAAUUGGAUUGUAUUCAUUCACACAUCUAAGCCAGUUUGAACCGUUUUCCAUUUCUUAAGAGUGUUAGACUACGAGAAUGCUAGCUUAAUUUAAAUCUUGAUGUUUGUCGGCUGCUACUAUUGUUCUGAAUAAUUUUCUUUUAUGAUAUUGUACAUUGACAUUUGGAUUAAGUGUGUAAACACAUGUCUGAUUCAAUAUCAUUCUAGUGAUUGAAGUUUGGUAAAAAAAAAAACGAAAUUAAUAGGUUUACGCUAGCAUGAUUUAUCUAUGUUUUUAUCUGAGUUAUCUAUGUUUG